rnacentral:rRNA from 1 species
UACAGAGGUCCCAAGCGUUGUUCGGAUUCACUGGGCGUAAAGGGUGCGUAGGCGGCGGGGCAAGUUUGAUGUGAAAGCUCCGAGCUUAACUCGGAAAUGGCAUUGAAUACUAUCUCGCUUGAGGUUUGGAGGGGGGACUGGAAUUCUCGGUGUAGCAGUGAAAUGCGUAGAUAUCGAGAGGAACACCAGUGGCGAAGGCGAGUCCCUGGACAACACCUGACACUGAGGCACGAAAGCUAGGGGAGCAAACAGG